UAUAAAUUCUAGGCUGGUCUCUAUUGUGAACGCUCUUUAUCUGAUUAUUUAAAGCCUUCUACUUUAUGGUUACUUCCUCUAUUGAACUAUUAAAUCUCCCACCGGUAAGGACCUGUCUCCAUUGCCCACCUAUUUCACAGCUGUUGGAGGGGACACUGUUUGCUGCCUUGCUCAGCCUGCCUGAGCUGUGGACAUAAUGGCUGGAGCUCUGGCAGCCUUCUUGAGAACACGAAGAUGGGGGCACAGCCCAAAGAAGUAAGAACAGAAAGCCAUAAGGAACUUGGAUAUCUACUGAUAUCACGGAACUACCAUACCAACUCCUGAACUUCCUACUUGUAGACUUAUUAUAGAAAAACUUCUUUAUGUCACUUAUUUCUUUGUUGCUUAUUUAAAGGUUUCUGCAGUAGAGAAAAAGGGCAAUUUAAUGUUAAACUGUUAAAUGUUAACCUGUUGAAUGUUUAACUGACAAAUAGGACACUUCUCUGGUUGAAAUAAAGGUAAAUGGAGACUAGA